AAAAUGUUUAAUCGAUAAAGAAAAAAAAUGUAUAUUGCCUUGAACCCAAACCGAGGCAAUAGUACAUUUCUCUAUAUCAUUUUGGCAGCAUUCCUCUCAUAACAUGACACUGCUUUUGAUUAUAAUAAAAAAAAUGAAGAUUUAUCAGCUACACAAUUAGAUAAGUACCGAACUGUGCGGCCGAACCGAGGCAUUGAACCGAAGCAGCGAACCGAAGCACGAGUCGAACCAAACCACAUCACGGAGGCAGAAGGAGGCAUGGCGGCGGAGAGGGUGGAGGUGUAGCAAGCUGUCCCGCCGGCAAGGUCAAUUUUUCUUGGUUUUCCUCGUAUAAUGGUGGUUCUGCUCUUCCUCUUCUGCUGUGGGAGUUAUCAAAGGACCUGAUGAGGACUGUGUGAAGCUCCGUAGGGCCUUAUCUCCACGUGUCCGCUCCGAUCACCAGCGAGGGGGGCGCGCCUCGCGGCAGGGGGUCAGAGCGUGCACCUGUCAAUAACUUCUGAGGGCGAGUGACGUCCGUGUCACCCCACUAGUGUGUGCAGGCCAGGGAAGGAAGCUUCUUGGAGGGCGUUCCAGCCAGCAGGUCCACAGUGCGCCACACCUGAAAGAAGCAAAAACCCGUGAUGAGUCUAGCCCGUGAACCAGGCCUGCGGUGAACUUAAACUUUUGGAGAAAUAAUCACUGUGGGGGCCCCUGGAACACUCAAGAGCUUCUCUGAGGAUCGCCGCCAGCUCACCCAUCCAAUGAGCUCAGAGCUGAAG